rfam:Helianthus annuus linkage group 3, whole genome shotgun sequence.
UUAGUUUCUCGGCCUUUUUUGCUAAGAUCAAGUGUAGUAUCUGUUCUUAUCAGUUUAAUAUCUGAUACGAAGGCUAUCGGCCCACUCGAUAUCAAUCUAAUUUUUCAUGGGGAAAAGCCCACGACAAUAGCUUGCUAUUGGGUCUUUGAGCGUCGCCUUCGUUUUGCACUACAGCCAUAGCCUCUAAACGAU